AUGAAAAUCAGUGUAGAUGCGGGACUCUCUAACACAGGAACAGCAGCAGCUGCGGCAGUAUGUCGAGAUAGUACGGGCUUGUACUUGGGCUCGUCGUCUUUGGUGAUUUCAGGAGUUACCGAUCCUUCAGUUGUUGAAGCCAUAGCUUGCCGAGAAGCACUUGCACUUGCAGAAGACCUUUCACUUCAGGAUUUUGUGGUGGCAAGUGACUGUAAAACAGUAGUUGAUGACAUUCAAAGAGGACAGGGUGGAGCUUAUAUGACAAUCAUCAAGGAGAUUUAUAGGCGUAGAUCCUCUUUCAAUUCUUGUAACUUCUUUUUCGAAGGUAGAGCAUCAAAUACUGAUGCUCACAACCUUGCCAAACACUCUUUAUUACUUGAUCAGGGUCGCCAUCUGUGGCUUAUUCAACCCCAUGACCCUUCCUGUAUCCCGCGUAAUGCCACCUAG
rnacentral:rRNA from 1 species